rnacentral:sRNA from 1 species
UACAAACGCGUUAGCGCAGGUAUCAGCUC